rnacentral:sRNA from 1 species
GCCAGGCAUAGUGGAGCAUGCCUGUAAUCCCAGUGGCUUGGGAGGCUGAGGCAGGAGGAUUGUGAGUUCAAAGCCAGCCUCACCAAAAACGAGGUGCUAAGCAACUCAGUGAGACCCUGUCUCUA